rnacentral:rRNA from 1 species
ACGAACGCUGGCGGCGUGCUUAACCCAUGCAAGUCGAACGGAAAGGCCCUGCUUUUGUGGGGUGCUCGAGUGGCGAACGGGUGAGUAACACGUGAGUAACCUGCCCUUGACUUUGGGAUAACUUCAGGAAACUGGGGCUGAUACCGGAUAGGAGCUCCUGCUGCAUGGUGGGGGUUGGAAAGUUUCGGCGGUUGGGGAUGGACUCGCGGCUUAUCAGCUUGUUGGUGGGGUAGUGGCUUACCAAGGCUUUGACGGGUAGCCGGCCUGAGAGGGUGACCGGCCACAUUGGGACUGAGAUACGGCCCAGACUCCUACGGGAGGCAGCAGUGGGGAAUAUUGCACAAUGGGCGGAAGCCUGAUGCAGCAACGCCGCGUGCGGGAUGACGGCCUUCGGGUUGUAAACCGCUUUCGCCUGUGACGAAGCGUGAGUGACGGUAAUGGGUAAAGAAGCACCGGCUAACUACGUG